rnacentral:misc_RNA from 1 species
AUGCGAUAAGUAAUGUGAAUUGCAGAAUUCAGUGAAUCAUCGAAUCUUUGAACGCACCUUGCGCCCUCUGGUAUUCCGGAGGGCAUGCCUGUUUGAGUGUCAUGAACACCUCACCCCCUCGGGUUUCCGAUCGGGUGGACUUGGGCGCUGCCAGUCAUGGCUCGCCUUAAAUGCAUUAGCGGUUGUUGACGUAAUAAGUUUCGUCUGUAUGCCGCUGACAAUCUCCUUCGGGAUGUCUUUCGGGACAAAUUCAUGAUCUGACCUCAAAUCAGGUAGGACUACCCGCUGAACUUAA